UGGGGAAUUUUGGACAAUGGGCGCAAGCCUGAUCCAGCCAUGCCGCGUGCAGGAUGAAGGCCUUCGGGUUGUAAACUGCUUUUGUACGGAACGAAAAGACUCCUUCUAAUAAAGGGGGUCCAUGACGGUACCGUAAGAAUAAGCACCGGCUAACUACGUGCCAGCAGCCGCGGUAAUACGUAGGGUGCGAGCGUUAAUCGGAAUUACUGGGCGUAAAGCGUGCGCAGGCGGUGAUGUAAGACAGAUGUGAAAUCCCCGGGCUCAACCUGGGAACUGCAUUUGUGACUGCAUCGCUGGAGUGCGGCAGAGGGGGAUGGAAUUCCGCGUGUAGCAGUGAAAUGCGUAGAUAUGCGGAGGAACACCGAUGGCGAAGGCAAUCCCCUGGGCCUGCACUGACGCUCAUGCACGAAAGCGUGGGGAGCAAACAGG
rnacentral:rRNA from 1 species